rnacentral:rRNA from 1 species
AUUGAACGCUGGCGGCAUGCCUUACACAUGCAAGUCGAACGGUAACAGGUCUUCGGAUGCUGACGAGUGGCGAACGGGUGAGUAAUACAUCGGAACGUGCCCAGACGUGGGGGAUAACGAGGCGAAAGCUUUGCUAAUACCGCAUACGAUCUAAGGAUGAAAGCAGGGGACCGCAAGGCCUUGUGCGUUUGGAGCGGCCGAUGGCAGAUUAGGUAGUUGGUGGGAUAAAAGCUUACCAAGCCGACGAUCUGUAGCUGGUCUGAGAGGACGACCAGCCACACUGGGACUGAGACGCGGCCCAGACUCCUACGGGAGGCAGCAGUGGGGAAUUUUGGACAAUGGGCGAAAGCCUGAUCCAGCAAUGCCGCGUGCAGGAUGAAGGCCUUCGGGUUGUAAACUGCUUUUGUACGGAACGAAAAGGCUCUGGCUAAUACCUGGGGCACAUGACGGUACCGUAAGAAUAAGCACCGGCUAACUACGUG